GUAGUGAAAGCAACUUGGUUAUUCACCACGAUGUGUAUAGUCCCACCAGUAGCAUAGCUUGGCAGUGCACUAAGAUGCAGAGUUUCAUACACUACACCUUGUCCAGCAAAGCUACCAUCACCAUGAAUCAAAAUUCCCAUGUUUUUAGUCCUCUGCUCAUCAUUGGAGUAAAAUUGCUUAGCUCUAGUCUUUCCAACAACAACAGGGUCCACAGCUUCCAAGUGACUAGGAUUUGCAACCAAUGACAAAUGGAUUCUCUUCCCACCUCUGGUUGGACGAUCAUAAGAAGUUCCUAAAUGAUAUUUCACAUCACCAGUUCCUGUGUAAAGACCAACUUCAUCGACAGGCUUUGUACCACCACUAAACUCACUAAAUAUUUGUCGGAGUGGCUUUCGAACAACAUUACCAAGAACAUUCAAUCUUCCUCUAUGAGGCAUUCCAAUAACUAUGCUCUCAACACCUAGAUCUGCUGACCUAUCAAACAUCUCCUUCAUACCAGGAAUAAGAGUUUCCCCACCUUCAAGGCCAAACCUCUUAGCUGUUGUCCACUUGGUGGCCAAGA
rnacentral:misc_RNA from 1 species